rnacentral:rRNA from 1 species
AGAGUUUGAUCCUGGCUCAGAACGAACGCUGGCGGCAUGCCUAACACAUGCAAGUCGAACGAGACCCCCGUCUUCGGAUGGCGGGUCUAGUGGCGCACGGGUGCGUAACGCGUGGGAAUCUGCCCUUCGGUUCGGAAUAACUCANGGAAACUUGAGCUAAUACCGGAUAAUGUCUUCGGACCAAAGAUUUAUCGCCGAGGGAUGAGCCCGCGUANGAUUAGCUUGUUGGUGAGGUAAAAGCUCACCAANGCGACGAUCCUUAGCUGGUCUGAGAGGAUGAUUAGCCACACUGGGACUGAGACACGGCCCAGACUCCUACGGGAGGCAGCAGUGGGGAAUAUUGGACAAUGGGCGAAAGCCUGAUCCAGCAAUGCCGCGUGAGUGAUGAAGGCCUUAGGGUUGUAAAGCUCUUUUACCCGGGAUGAUAAUGACAGUACCGGGUGAAUAAGCCCCGGCUAACUCCGUGCCAGCAGCCGCGGUAAUACGGAUGGGGCUAGCGUUGUUCGGAAUUACUGGGCGUAAAGCGCACGUAGGCGGCUUAGUAAGUUAGAGGUGAAAGCCGUGAGCUCAACUCCGGAAUUGCCUUUAUGACUGCAUCGCUUGAAUCAUGCAGAGGUGAGUGCAAUUCCGAGUGUAGAGGUGAAUUACGUAGAUAUUCGGAAGAGCGCANUGGCGAAGCGACUCACUGAGUGUAUUGACGCUGAGGUCGAAGCCUGGGAGCAACUGGAUGGAUACCCUGUGUCC